UACGGGGGGAGCAAGCGUUGUUCGGAUUUACUGGGCGUAAAGAGCUCGUAGGCGGCUUGUUGCGUCGACUGUGAAAACCCGCGGCUUAACCGCGGGCUUGCAGUUGAUACGGGCAGGCUAGAGUUCGGCAGGGGAGACUGGAAUUCCUGGUGUAGCGGUGAAAUGCGCAGAUAUCAGGAGGAACACCGGUGGCGAAGGCGGGUCUCUGGGCCGAUACUGACGCUGAGGAGCGAAAGCAUGGGUAGCGAACAGG
rnacentral:rRNA from 1 species